UACGUAGGGGGGCUAGCGUUGUCCGGAAUCAUUGGGCGUAAAGCGCGUGUAGGCGGUCCGGUAAGUCCGCUGUGAAAGUCGGGGGGCUCAACCCUCGAAUGCCGGUGGAUACUGUCGGGCUAGAGUGCGGAAGAGGCGAGUGGAAUUCCCGGUGUAGCGGUGAAAUGCGCAGAUAUCGGGAAGAACACCCGUGGCGAAGGCGGCUCUCUGGGACGGUACUGACGCUGAGACGCGAAAGCGUGGGGAGCGAACAGG
rnacentral:rRNA from 1 species